GUAGGUGGCAAGCGUUGUCCGGGAAUUAUUGGGCGUAAAGCGCGCGCAGGCGGUUCUUUAAGUCUGAUGUGAAAGCCCACGGGCUCAACCGUGGAGGGUCAUUGGAAACUGGAGAACUUGAGUACAGAAGAGGAAAGCGGAAUUCCACGUGUAGCGGUGAAAUGCGUAGAGAUGUGGAGGAACACCAGUGGCGAAGGCGGCUUUCUGGUCUGUAACUGACGCUGAGGCGCGAAAGCGUGGGGAGCAAACAGGAUUAGAUACCCUGGUAGUCCACGCCGUAAACGAUGAGUGCUAAGUGUUAGGGGGUUUCCGCCCCUUAGUGCUGCAGCUAACGCAUUAAGCACUCCGCCUGGGGAGUACGGCCGCAAAGGCUGA
rnacentral:rRNA from 1 species